rnacentral:misc_RNA from 1 species
GUUGAAACUACCAUGUCUAUCUCACUAGAGAGAUGCCCAGCGAAAUGCUCUUCGCACGGGGCAUGCAAGUCUGUGUUGGAUUCAAGUGGUCUCACAUUCUACAGUUUCUGUGAUUGUGAUCGACGCACUGGAGGCUUUGAUUGCAGUGUUGAACUGGUUUCUUCUUCAGGACAAAUGUGGCAAUCGAUUUCCCUUAUUGGAUCCAAUGCUGCAGCUUUG